GUCUUCAUGUCUGAACACGGCGUGCUGCAGUUGACAGACGGCUGUACUCACAUUUCUACCUGCCAGGUGAGACACGGAAAAAUGGCCUGUCCUCGCUGCUUAUUGCGCUCACCUUUCUUCAGUACCUAAACCAUCAGAUGAUUCCCACCAGGACAGGAUCCUUUUACAGCAGUUCAGUUGCCCACAUAGCUGGAAACUUUGCCUGGGAAUUUCUCAGCUUUAAAAUUUCAGUCAUUGUUUCUGGUCGUGUGUGUGACGUGCAUCCACAUCUAAAAAUGGGAGAGAGAUCCACAGUGGGAGGACUGAGUGGAUGCUUGUGAGGGUUUUCAACAAAAUCAGCUCAGAUAAUGUGUAAUCUGCCUGUUUGCUGCUGGUUUUAUUUAGUAAAUCUUCUCUGGAAGCUACAAAGCAGCAGCCUCAUGGCAGUAGGCCUCAUCCUCUUGUAGAUCUGAAACCCUAAAAAUCCAGUGUGCAUUUCAGAUGUUAUUAAAACUACAAGACAUCGAGAAGUGAAGCUGAAAUCCUGUCUGAGCUCAGCGGCAGCAAAACACAUUUUGUUCAGAGAUGUUAAACCUGCGACAAUUCACUUGUCAUAGCCCACAGGAGGGCACGGCAGUGGUGUUACCACAUGCACACAAACCUCCAGUAAUGUCAGGUAUGUUGGUGAACCAGCUCCACUUAUCCGUUCUCACAUGAUGGGCGUCAGCUCUGUACUUUCCUUGAGCGGUGGCUCAAUUUAAUUAAAAUUCUGACAGAGGGGGGAAAAGUACUUCCAGCAAAUGAUGGCAGCAAACAGCUCAUACAAGGAAAUAGUUGAGCGCAUUUGCACACAUUUCCAUUCUGUUUGGAGAGAUGCAUAAAGGACAGAAGUGUUUUUCUCCGUUUUAUUAAAGGCUCUUACUAGUGCAAAUGUUAUUUGCACUAAUACAAACAUUGUUUUACAAUUGUUUUCUGUAAUUGAUGAAAUAAACUCACCACCAUUAAUGUC